UUUACUUUUCUCUUGGAGAAAAAGGAGACCUUGAAUAAAAAAUCCUUCUCUUGAUGGCUUGAAGCUCCAUCUUUCCUUACUCUUUCUUUUUUGAAGCUAGCUAGGCUGUUGCAGGUAGUAGGUGCGGCGGUGUGGCAGUGUGCUGAGCAUUUACUACUGUUCUCUCUAUUGCAUUUCCUUUCAGUUCAUGUUGUUAGUUAGCCUUGCUGCACUCCGAUGGUUGAGUGGCGAAGUGUCCCUCCUCGAGAUCGUCACGGCGGUUGUCACGUUCCGUGGGCCAGCGGGGCGGGGUGUGACACUCAGAGUCAAGAAUCCAUGAUGCAUCAGUAAAAAAAAUUCAGUUGGAGGGUGUAAAACUUAAGUUAUUUAAAAUUUCCUCAUCCAAUUUGCUGCCAAAGUUGUAUAUUCUUUAA